rnacentral:rRNA from 1 species
GCGAACCGGGGGAACUGAAACAUCUAAGUACCCCGAGGAAAAGAAAUCAACCGAGAUUCCGAAAGUAGCGGCGAGCGAAAUUGGACUAGCCCUUAAGCUUUACACGCGUUAGACGAACGGUCUGGAAAGUCCGACGAUACAGGGUGAUAGUCCCGUAGUUGACGACGUGUGUUCAGUGAAAUCGAGUAGGGCGGGACACGUGAUAUCCUGUCUGAAUAUGGGGGGACCAUCCUCCAAGGCUAAAUACUACUGACUGACCGAUAGUGAACCAGUACCGUGAGGGAAAGGCGAAAAGAACCCCUGUGAGGGGAGUGAAAUAGAACCUGAAACCGUGUACGUACAAGCAGUAGGAGCAGGCUUUGUCCUGUGACUGCGUACCUUUUGUAUAAUGGGUCAGCGACUUAUAUUCAGUGGCAAGGUUAACCAUCUAGGGGAGCCGUAGGGAAACCGAGUCUUAACUGGGCGUUCAGUCUCUGGAUAUAGACCCGAAACCAGGUGAUCUAGCCAUGGGCAGGUUGAAGGUUGAGUAACAUCAACUGGAGGACCGAACCGACUAAUGUUGAAAAAUUAGCGGAUGACUUGUGGCUAGGGGUGAAAGGCCAAUCAAACCUGGAGAUAGCUGGUUCUCCCCGAAAGCUAUUUAGGUAGCGCCUCGGACGAAUACUACUGGGGGUAGAGCACUGUUAAGGCUAGGGGGUCAUCCCGACUUACCAACCCUUUGCAAACUCCGAAUACCAGUAAGUACUAUCCGGGAGACACACGGCGGGUGCUAACGUCCGUCGUGGAGAGGGAAACAACCCAGACCGCCAGCUAAGGUCCCAAAUUACUACUAAGUGGGAAACGAUGUGGGAAGGCUCAGACAGCCAGGAUGUUGGCUUAGAAGCAGCCAUCAUUUAAAGAAAGCGUAAUAGCUCACUGGUCGAGUCGGCCUGCGCGGAAGAUGUAACGGGGCUAAGUAGUAAACCGAAGCUGCGGCAAUGUGCUUUUGCACAUUGGGUAGGGGAGCGUUCUGUAAGCGGUUGAAGGUGUGUGGUAACGCAUGCUGGACGUAUCAGAAGUGCGAAUGCUGACAUGAGUAACGAUAAAGGGGGUGAAAAACCUCCUCGCCGGAAGACCAAGGGUUCCUGUCCAACGUUAAUCGGGGCAGGGUAAGUCGACCCCUAAGGCGAGGCCGAAAGGCGUAGUCGAUGGGAAACGGGUUAAUAUUCCCGUACUUCUUACAAUUGCGAUGGGGGGACGGAGAAGGCUAGGUGGGCCUGGCGACGGUUGUCCAGGUUCAAGUGCGUAGGCUUAAGAGUUAGGUAAAUCCGGCUCUUUUUAAGGCUGAGACACGACGUCGAGCAUCUACGGAUGUGAAGUCAUUGAUGCCAUGCUUCCAGGAAAAGCCUCUAAGCUUCAGAUUGUAAGGAAUCGUACCCCAAACCGACACAGGUGGUCGGGUAGAGAAUACCAAGGCGCUUGAGAGAACUCGGGUGAAGGAACUAGGCAAAAUGGUACCGUAACUUCGGGAGAAGGUACGCUCUCGACGGUGAAGUCCCUCGCGGAUGGAGCUAUUGAGAGUCGCAGAUACCAGGUGGCUGCAACUGUUUAUUAAAAACACAGCACUGUGCAAAAUCGUAAGAUGACGUAUACGGUGUGACGCCUGCCCGGUGCCGGAAGGUUAAUUGAUGGGGUUAGACUUCGGUCGAAGCUCUUGAUCGAAGCCCCGGUAAACGGCGGCCGUAACUAUAACGGUCCUAAGGUAGCGAAAUUCCUUGUCGGGUAAGUUCCGACCUGCACGAAUGGCGUAAUGAUGGCCACGCUGUCUCCACCCGAGACUCAGUGAAAUUGAAAUCGCUGUGAAGAUGCAGUGUACCCGCGGCUAGACGGAAAGACCCCGUGAACCUUUACUACAGCUUGGCACUGAACAUUGACCCUACAUGUGUAGGAUAGGUGGGAGGCUUUGAAGCACGUACGCCAGUAUGUGUGGAGCCGUCCUUGAAAUACCACCCUUGUAGUGUUGAUGUUCUAACGUCGACCCCUUAUCGGGGUUGCGGACAGUGCCUGGUGGGUAGUUUGACUGGGGCGGUCUCCUCCCAAAGAGUAACGGAGGAGCACGAAGGUGGGCUAAUCACGGUUGGACAUCGUGAGGUUAGUGCAAUGGCAUAAGCCCGCUUGACUGCGAGAAUGACAAUUCGAGCAGGUGCGAAAGCAGGUCAUAGUGAUCCGGUGGUUCUGAAUGGAAGGGCCAUCGCUCAACGGAUAAAAGGUACUCCGGGGAUAACAGGCUGAUACCGCCCAAGAGUUCAUAUCGACGGCGGUGUUUGGCACCUCGAUGUCGGCUCAUCACAUCCUGGGGCUGAAGUCGGUCCCAAGGGUAUGGCUGUUCGCCAUUUAAAGUGGUACGCGAGCUGGGUUUAGAACGUCGUGAGACAGUUCGGUCCCUAUCUGCCGUGGGCGUUGGAAGAUUGAAGGGGGCUGCUCCUAGUACGAGAGGACCGGAGUGGACGAACCUCUGGUGUUCGGGUUGUGUCGCCAGACGCAUUGCCCGGUAGCUAAGUUCGGAAUCGAUAACCGCUGAAAGCAUCUAAGCGGGAAGCGAGCCCUGAGAUGAGUCUUCCCUGAUACUUUAAGUAUCCUAAAGGGUUGUCGGAGACUACGACGUUGAUAGGUCAGGUGUGUAAGUGCUGUGAGGCAUUGAGCUAACUGAUACUAAUUGCCCGUGAGGCUUAACCAU